rfam:Nicotiana sylvestris Nsyl_contig26823, whole genome shotgun sequence.
UGGACAGAUUAUUGUAUUCGACUGUAUUCACGACGUGAAACAGGGGAUUACACUGUUUUUAAACGGAAAGUGAAUCAAUUAACAUAAUAGACUCCU